UGCUCUUUGUUCUUAUUUUAUUCAUAGUUAUUGCUCCAGGGGCUAGCAAUACCUGGGGGUGACUAAGGAAUGCCUGUGAAGCACAGGGGAAGAUUUGGGUUGAAGCCUUCCCAGAUACAUCAACUGCCUUUUAAAAAUUAAAUGUGUAAGAGUAUGACUUGAAAAACCAGAUGAACUCGACUUAAUGAAAAUUUUGAAAUUGUAUGCAUCAAAAGACAUUAGAAACAGAGAAAAAAAGGCAAGACACAGAAUGGAAGAAAAUAUUUGCCAAUCAUAAAUAUAAUAAAGGAUGGAUAUCUGGAAUAUAUACAGGAAGCCUAAAAUUUAACACAGCAACAAAUAUGCAAUAACCCAAUUCCAAAAUGGCAAAGAACUUGAGAAGACAUUUCUGCAAAGAAGAGACACAAAUGGCCAAAAAGCACAUAAAAAAAUGCUCAGCAUCACUUAUCAUUAGAGAAAUGCAGAUUAAAGCUAUAAUAAAGUACCACCUCACACCGAUUAGGAUGGCGACUGUCAACAACAAGACAGAAAACAACAGUGGAAAAAAAACUGAAAGCAAGGUGUCAAAGAGAUAUUUAUACACCAAUGUUCAUAACUGCAUUCUUCACAACAGCUAAAAUGUGGAAGCAAUCCAAGUAUUUAUCAAUGGAUGGAUAAAUAAAAUGCAGUAUACAUAUUCAAUGGAAUAUCAUUCGGCCUUCAAAAGGAAGGAGAUUCUGACACAUGCUACAACACGGAUGAACCCUGAGGACAUUAUGCUAAGUGAAAAAAGUCACAAAAAAGUGCUGGGGUUGUGGCUCAGCUGUAGAACGCUCCCUUAGCACGGGCAGAACCUGGGUUCUAUCCUCAGCACCACAAUAAAAAUAAAGACAUUGUGUUGUGUCCAUCUACACCUAAAAAAUAAAUAUUAAAAAAAGUCACAAAUAGACAAUUAGGUGGGCUGAGAUUGUGGCUCAGCGGUAGAGCACUCACCUAGCACAUGGGAGACUCUGGGUUCGAUCCUCAGCACCAUAUAAAAAUAAAAUAAAUAAAGGCCUUGUGUCCAACUACAACUAAAAAAUUUUAAAAAAUAUUUUUAAAAAAGACAAACAUGCAGGCCCGCAAUCCCAGUGACUUAGUAGGCUGAGACAGGAGGAUUACAAGAUCAAGACCAGCCUCAGCAACUUAGCAAGGCCCUAAGCAACUUAGUGAAACCCUGUCCCAAAAUAAAUUUACAAAAUAAAAAUAAAAAGGGCUGGAGAUAUGGCUCAGUGGUUAAAUGUCUCCAAGUAUAUAUUAAAAAAAAAACUAAUAGUGUAUGAUUCCACAUAUAUGAAAACUCAGAAUACUCAAAAUUAUGAGACUCGGAGGAGAAUGAUGUUUGUUAGGACUGGGGGAAGGGCUAGUGGGGAGUCAAGGAGUAGAAAGUAUUAAUCUUACAAGAUGAAACAAUUAUGAAGAUGGAUGGUGGUGACAGAUGCUGAUGUUCUGGAUUUAUUUCAUUUUGCUAAACUAUAUCCUUAAAAUAGUUAAAAUUAUAAGUUAAUUGUGUGUAUUUACCUUGAUAAAAAUAACAACUUUUAAAAAAUUAAAUACAUCAGGGCUGGGGAUAUGGCCCAAGCGGUAGCGCGCUCCCCUGGCAUGCAUGGGGCGCGCAGGGUUCGAUCCUCAGCACCACAUAAAAAAA
rnacentral:lncRNA from 1 species